CCCCCCUUGGUUAUUUUCACACCAUUUGCACGUUGGUUUUCACUACGAAACCAGGGAUCAUGAGUUCGAGCCCGCGUUUCUUCAAAUAAAAUUACUGAUGAACAUUGGGAUAAGAAUCCCGCACAUGGGUCCUUUACUCCUGGCACGUUAUAUAACCAGGAAAACUCUGGAAUUGGAGUAUCUUCCUACUUAAUCUUUUGGACAUAGAGAAGAAGAAAAAUAUUUUAUAAGACACUAAACUUUACAGUUUCUGGUCUACUCAAUAUACAGUUGAAAGGCGAAGUACUUGAAAAAGAUAAGGUUACAAUUGUACAAUAACGCUGGUGUCUUUCAAUCCUAUUUUGUCCAUAACGACCAGUUUCAAUUCUUAGAUUGUGGGAUGCAAGUCUCAACCUGGACAGAGGAAUGCAGAAUUUACAAGCAAGUCAAGGUUACUUUGAAGGUCUUGUGGAGUGUUACCAAAUACUACUAUGUCAUCAGCAAAUAGCAUUAGGAUAAAGAAAUGAAACAGUCAAUAGGUCCUAUCAAAUUAUCUGGGCUAUGCAGUUUUUAUAGUGGUUUCCUCUCAGAAUGAUCCAGCGCUGAUGCAAGAUGGGUAAAUAAGAUGGCACUCGAGAAAUAUUUGAGUUUGUUCCGAGAGAGGCUAGAGGCUAUCAACAUCAAGAAGUUAGAGGGUCAUAAGGUACCCAUCUCAACUGGUUGAAGCUGCCACUGAUCUCAUGUCCUACACAGAUGAUAAUGAGUUGUCUGCAGUGGCAGAAAAGAUAGAAUUUGAUCUCAAGGUACUAUAAGUUUAUUUAAGAAGUGAAAUAUUUUUUUCAAAGUUCAUGAGAAAUAAAAACAGAACAGAAUUGGCAAAUCCACGAAUCGUGAUGCAGGUUUCUGUUUGUUUAUUCUGGUGGUCAUUUUGCAUGGAAAAAAAAAUUCAGUUCUUACAUUUACAUGAUAUUUCCUUUCCAUGUUUAAAGAAGGUUGUAAUAAAAAAGUACACACAUUUGUUGCAUUGAACAUUUUAAUCAGCUUCCCGGCCAUUCUGUUCACCAGAGGGAAGAAGUGCGACAUCAUCUAAGGAACGUUCUCCCUGACUGUAUAUGGACAUCAUCAACACAGCGUCCCAUUAAAUAGCAACAUUUCAUUCACUGGAUAAUAAUGCAGUUACUUUAAAAUGCGUCAUGCAGAAUCAUGGAGUGAAUCU
rnacentral:lncRNA from 1 species